UCUGACAUUAAAAGGAAAACAAUGUAUUUCUCGCACAGUAUAAGCUAAUUUAAGUUCUGUAAUGAUGUCAUAAAAUAAAUAUAGAUGACUGAGACGCAAAACAAGGACCAAAAACCCAGCGUCAUAUUAUAUAAAUUAACCCAACAUGACUAAUGAGAAGGAAAAAACAACCAUGAAGCCAGAAAUGCACCGUCAGCCUGCUUUCAGAAUAAGGGCGCCUUUGCGCGGCGAAAAUAGUUUCGUAGGGCGGAACAUUAUGUGCAUAGUCUUAUCCGGAAUAGCUAUAACGAUUAUUGGAUUCAUUAUUGUGAUGGUGAUUUUCUUGUGCCGAGAAUAUGCUUGAAAGAAUAAAAUGUUUUUGACUAUUUUGGUAUAUU